ensembl:lncRNA
GGAAAUGGUUGUACAGGGGGAGGAAGCUCUCCUACAGGAAGAGGAGGUGGUCCUAGAGGAGGAGGAAGUUGUCUUAAAGGGGGAGGAAGCUGUCCUACAGGAAGAGGAAUCUGUCUUACAGGAAGAGGAAUCUGUCUUACAGGAGGAGGAAGCUGUCAUACAGGGGGAGGAAGCUGUCAUACAGGGGGAGGAAGCUGUCAUACAGGAGAAGGAAGUGGUCAUACAGGAGAAGGAAGUGGUCUUACAGGAGGACGAAGUUGUCUUGCAGGAGGAGGAAGCUGUCCUACAGGAAGAGGAAUCUGUCUUACAGGAGGAGGAAGUGGUCCUACAGGUGGAGGUUGUGGUCGUCCAUGUGGAGGAAGGAGGAGGAAGUGGUCCAACAGGAGGAGGAAGUUGUCUUACAGGAGGAGGAAGUGGUCGUACAGGAAGAGGAAAUGGUCGUACAGAAGAAGAAAGUGGUCCUACAGGUGGUGGCAGUGAUCGUAAAGGAUGAGGAAGUAGUCCAACAGAAAGAGGAAGGAGUUAUAAUGGAGGAGACAGGGGUCCUACGGGAGAAGGAAGUAGUCGUAAAGGAAGAGGAAGUGGUUUUACAGGAGGAGAAAUUCGUUCUAGAGGUGGACGUAGUUGUCGUUCAGGAAGCGGCAGUUGUCAGAGGAGGAACCAGUGCAGCUUGAGACUCCUCUAGUCUUUAAUAAAUAAUGUAUUUUUGAUAAAGCAGAGUGUGUAUUUAUAUAUAACUCUGACUUACUUGUCCUGCACAAUAAUCUAACAUGUUAUUUAUUUACAGGUACCUUUAUUUACGGGUACCUGUGCAAAUAAAUCACAUAAUAUUGCUUUUCAUUAAGGAUCAUACCUGCAGCCAACAUAUUGUAUUCCAUCAUUUUAUACUGCUGACUCAACUGACUCUGUAUAUGAUUAUUUUUCACGUUUGGUGUCUCCACAACAUUUUGUCCCCCGUUGUUCCAUUAUGUUUACGAUGCAGAAUGUUUGGGACAUACUGUAUAGUUAGUAUCAGACUUGAAUGUAAUACUGACUCCCCAACAGUGUCAUGAUCUACAUUCACAAGCUCGUUCCCUUUGGGGAGGAAACCAGAGGAAGAGGCCCCAAUUAGUGAGACAUGGAUAUGGCGCCAGAGGGCGGAGCAUCAGCAGCCGCCAUGACAAGUCUGACCUUAAGUAUAAUGAUUCAUCAUUUUAAUCAACUUGUAAUGUAAAAGAAAUCCAGACCGACCUAAUUAAUUUCUGUAGUUACAAUAGCAGCCUUUCUUUUCGUGCCUACUAACUGUAUGUCUGUAAUUUGGUCUACUUAGGGUGAGGGGGCCUAAUCAGUACACAUUGUCAAAAAUUCCACCUUCUCGAGAACAACAUAAUGAACAGAUUUCCAAUGUUUCUAGCGCCCCCUGUGGACUAGUACUGGUCCCGUGAGUAGACCUUCUCAUUUGAGCGGAGUCCUGGUUGUGCUUCUCCCGGGCCUCCCUUGCCUCCAGCGGGUCCAGCACCACGUCCUGAGUCUCCAGCGGCGUGGCGCCGAUGUUAGCUCCCAGAGAGGAGCGCGGCGACGAUUAACGCCUCGUCCGCUGCGACGGGGCUGAUUCUUUUAGUCAUACAUUUGUUUUAGACCACGGCUGAUUCUGACAUUUCAGUAAGAGGUGUUUCCAGAGCAGCAUAAGUCAUUGACGUAGUCGCUGUGAUGCAUCUGGGUCCAGAGAACAUUUCGACAUCAGGGCAGCACGAGAGAAGCCAACAGCAUUUGUCAACCGCUGCCGAGGCGCUACGCGACGUUCAUUUGUAGGCGAGGAGAUCGAAACUGAGUGCAUCUCGUAAGCAACCUCAGGCCUGAGAUGUUUUACAGUAAACCGUCGGCCUCUUCACACUUCCUCUGAUUUCCUGGAUCCCAAAUAUGCAACUUAAUUAUACAAUGUUGCGCCACGAUUGAAUAAAAAGGCAUCUGGCUUGUGGGUCUGGUGGGAGUUUAAAUACUAAGAGCACAGAUCUAAGCGUCUACUGUCUAGUUUGGGCUUCGGUUCAGAAAAUUUGAAGUUUGAGCGAAACAAAGCAGACGGUCUCCUGUGAGGUCUGAAGAGCUAAUCAGCUGUUUGAGCCGACUCUCUCAGAGUAUAAAUAUUGUAUUGUCGUGUUGUCUGUGAGCAGCAGAGCUUUAGCUCUUUAUAGCUCUGCUCUUUCUUUCUGCAGCUUCGGGUCGAACACAGACACACAGACAGCUUUCUUGUCGUGGGAUUGAAUAUAGAUUUCCUCCUUCACUAGACAACGACAAAAAGAAAGAUGAACACAUCCUCAAUUGGUCACGUGGAGGGGUUGUCCUGAUGACAAAGCGCUUUAAAAGGUGCAACGUGAGUAACGUCACAACAAAUAGGGUAGUCAACGUUUCACCUGCACCUGGACCUCCUGCGGUGCCCUUUGCUUCGCUCCAGCUCCAUCACUUUCACGAUUCUUCCGGGGGAUUCGUCUUCGGUGGCCACUUAUGAACCAGCAGUGAGACGAAGAGAGCGAGACAGAGGACACAACAGAGGAGGACGCUGAGCCGAGUCUCCAGAUGGAAGUUUUCUAGCGGCUUUGAUCAGCCAUUUGUCUGCGGAGCGGCUCGUCUGCGGCGUGGGCGUGAGAGCAACGUCAGCUCCGAGUGAUUAAUGUCUCAAAAUGUUUUCCUAAUGUGGUGAGGAACGGAGCUGGUGGGUAAUUUAGAAUGUGCUUUCGGAAUGUAAACGAGGUUGGUUAGAUCCCCAGGCGGACGCGAGCAAUUUGUAUCCCACGAGGUCGAAGCUGCAGCGAGGUAACGGCGGCAGAAAUCACAAGCAACAAAGAGCACGAAGCAACUUUGUUGCCGAUGAAUAAAGCCAUUUAUUUAAAUGAUUUCAAUUUGUUGAUGAGUAAAAGUUCCCUGGUUUGGGUUCAGGAAAUUAUCGGAGUGGUUUUCAGCUGCAGGUAGAUUUCUUCAUGAGUUCACAUGUAAUAAGAGAGUAAUAAGUGUGCAAAUAAGGCCCCAAAAAAAACAUCUUUAUGAGGUUUUCAAAAUGCGUUUAAAGCUGUUCAGAGAAAUGAAUAUCUUUACUAUAACAAAAGCCAAUCUAACGGUAAAAAGAGGUUUUUAUCAAUAAAAAUAAUUUUGUACCAAUUGAUGAAAGGUUGAACAUUGGUAAAAAUAGUGGAAGGUUGCUAUGGUUACUAUGCAAAGCCGCGUUGACGGGCAAUAUUUUUACAACCGGCUAGAAGAAGCUUUAAGGUUGAUUAGUUUAUUGAGUCUUGCAUACGUUACAUGCGGCCCUGAUCCGCCCGUCGGGUGGUUCAUCCAGUAGUUUGUCUGCCAGCUUGCUGAAAAAAGAAAGAACGUCCAUUUAUGCGACUGACCGUAGAGACGGAUCUCACAGCAAGUCCAUUGAACCUUUUCUUACAAAUAAUAAACUGCAGAAGAGAUAUAAGUUACAUGCUGUUAUCCUUGAAACGUAAUGUGAUACAAUCAUGUUGAAGACGUGUUCAACGGUUCUGCCGAGCACAGAGCCCUCCGGUACCUGGCAGAACCUUGUUGUUUUUGUUGUUAAUUAUGUUUCCUGCUCCUUCCGUUUCCUGGGCUCCAUCAUCACCCAGGACCUCAAGUGGGAGCUGAACAUCAGCUCCAUCACAAAGAAGGCUCAGCAGAGGUUGUUCUUCCUGAGGCAGCUGAAGAAAUUCAACCUGCCAAAGUCUAUGAUGAUCCACUUCUACACGGCCAUCAUCGAGUCCAUCCUCUGCUCCUCCAUCACCGUCUGGUACGCUGCAGCCACAGCCAAGGACAAGGGCAGGCUGCAGCGGGUCAUCCACUCUGCAGAGAGGGUGAUCGGCUGCAAUCUGCCGUACCUGCAGGACUUGUUCGUGGUCACUUUACUGUUAUUUUUCACUUUGUCGUCACUCGUCACUUUGUCACUUGUUCGCUAGUGCACUUUUUAAAACUUUUUUAUUAUUUUAAAUUUUUAAUUCUAACUUCAUUCUCUUGUUUUAUACUAACCCAUAGCCUUCUUCUACUAACCCAUUGCAUUAGCAUUUCAUUUUACUUUAUUUUAUUACUUGUGCACUGCUGUCUUGUUGUCUAUUGUUACACUGUCUACUGUCACGCACCAAACGCCAAAACAAAUUCCUUGUAUGUUUGACAUAUUUUGGCAAUAAAUGUUUCCUGAUUCCUUUUAGAGUCUUGAAGGAAGCAAAGUGGAAGACACGGAAGCGUCCACACGAAGGACAGAAUUUAGAACAUUUAGAAUCUUUAAAAAGC